rnacentral:rRNA from 1 species
GACGAACGCUGGCGGCGUGCUUAACACAUGCAAGUCGAACGGAAAGACCCUGCUUUUGUUGGGUGCUCGAGUGGCGAACGGGUGAGUGACACGUGAGUAACCUGCCCUUGACUUUGGGAUAACUUCAGGAAACUCGGGCUCAUACCGGAUAGGAGCUCCUGCUGCAUGGUGUGGGUUGGAAAGUUUCGGCGGUUGGGGAUGGACUCGCGGCUUAUCAGCUUGUUGGUGGGGUAGUGGCUUACCAAGGCUUUGACGGAUAGCCGGCCUGAGAGGGUGACCGGCCACAUGGGGACUGAGAGACGGCGCAGACUCCUACGGGAGGCAGCAGUGGGGAAUAUUGCACAAUGGGCGGAAGCCUGAUGCAGCAACGCCGCGUGCGGGAUGACGUCUUUCGGGUGGUAAACCGCUUUCGAAGGUGACGAAGCGUGAGUGACGGUAAUGGGUAAAGAAGCAACGGCUAACUACGUG